UGAGGAAUAUUGGUCAAUGGGCUGAGGCCUGAACCAGCCAAGUCGCGUGAGGGAAGACGGUCCUAUGGAUUGUAAACCUCUUUUGCCGGGAGCAAGACGGUCACGAGUGACCUACUGAGAGUACCCGGAGAAAAGCAAUCGGCUAACUCCGUGCCAGCAGCCGCGGUAAUACGGAGGAUGCGAGCGUUAUCCGGAUUUAUUGGGUUUAAAGGGUGCGUAGGCCGACUGUCAAGUCAGUGGUAAAAUUGAGAGGCUCAACCUCUUCGAGCCAUUGAAACUGGCGGUCUAGAGUGGGCGAGAAGUAUGCGGAAUGCGAGGUGUAGCGGUGAAAUGCAUAGAUAUCACGCAGAACUCCGAUUGCGAAGGCAGCAUACCGGCGCCCGACUGACGCUGAGGCACGAAAGCGUGGGUAUCGAACAGGAUUAGAUACC
rnacentral:rRNA from 1 species